GAUUAACGCUAGCGGCAGGCCUAAUACAUGCAAGUCGAACGGCAGCACGGGUAGCAACACCUGGUGGCGAGUGGCGCACGGGUGCGUAACGCGUAUGCAACCUACCUAGAACUGGGGAAUAGCCUUCUGAAAGGAAGAUUAACACAGCAUAAUAUCACGAGACGGCAUCGCCUUGUGAUCAAAUCUCCGGAGGUUAUAGAUGGGCAUGCGUGACAUUGGCUAGUUGGUGAGGUAACUGCCCACCAAGGCUACGAGGUCUAGGGGGUCUGAGAGGGUGAUCCCCCACAUUGGUACUGAGACACGGACCAGACUCCUACGGGAGGCAGCAGUAAGGAAUAUUGGACAAUGGGCGCAAGCCUGAUCCAGCCAUGCCGCGUGAAGGAUGACGGCCCUCUGGGUUGUAAACUUCUUUUAUACGGGAAUAAACCCCUCGAUUCUUCGAGGGCUGUAUGUACUGUAAGAAUAAGGAUCGGCUAACUUCGUGCCAGCCGCCGCCGUAA
rnacentral:rRNA from 1 species